UACAAUUGGCUUACGCCAACCAAUCAGAGAACUGUUAGGCGAACUGUGGCAUACGGCAUCAGUCUCCUGUGGAAAGUCAUCGUGGAUGCGUAAUUAUAAGUGGCUUUGUGGAUUUGAAUACGCAGUAUUCGAAUUUCCAUUUCUUCAUUUUUGAUGGGUAUUUUGAAAUGAUAUUCUAUAGAUCACGACAGCAUUGAUGACAGUGCAGAUUUUUGCUUCUAUUGAGAUCAAUGUGGAAUCAAUGUGGAAAUGGAAUCAAUAAAGGAUUCUUAUAUUUAUAUUAUCUUCUAAUUUUAUCGAGAUUUUUUAAUAGAUAGGCUUUUUAAACAAAUUUUUAAAUUAAUAUAUACAAAAAUAUUUUUUUUUUUAGAUCUGAGAUUAAAACGAGCAUUAGUGAAUAGAAUUGUAGAUUUAAAUGAUUCUAUUUCAAUGUUUUUUAAAUUAGGUUAUGUUGUAAAUUUCAUUUAUCAAUAUUUUUAAAUUUAAUUAAGUUAAAGAAUUUAUGAAAUUUU